rnacentral:rRNA from 1 species
UACGGGGGGAGCAAGCGUUGUUCGGAUUUACUGGGCGUAAAGGGCGCGUAGGCGGUCAGCACAAGUCAGUUGUGAAAUCUCCGGGCUUAACUCGGAAAGGUCAACUGAUACUGUGCGACUAGAGUGCGGAAGGGGCAACUGGAAUUCUCGGUGUAGCGGUGAAAUUCGUAGAUAUUCGCAAGAACACCAGUGGCGAAGGCGGCUCACUGGCCCGGUACUGACGCUGAGGCACGAAAGCGUGGGGAGCAA